GUGCUCGCUUCGGCAGCACAUAUACUAAAUAUUGGAACAACACAGAGAAGAUCAGCAUGGCCCCUGUGCAAGGAUGACACACAAAUCCGUGAAGCGUUCCAUAUUUCU
rnacentral:snRNA from 1 species